rnacentral:sRNA from 1 species
GCCAGGCAUGGUGGCGCACACCUGUCAUCCUAGCAGCUCAGGAGGCUGAGACAGGAGGAUCCUGUGAGUUCAAAGCCAGCCUUAGCAAAAGCAAGGUGCUAAGCAACUCAGUGAGACCCUGUCUCUA